rnacentral:rRNA from 1 species
AGUGAACGCUGGCGGUAGGCCUAACACAUGCAAGUCGAACGGCAGCACAGUAAGAGCUUGCUCUUACGGGUGGCGAGUGGCGGACGGGUGAGGAAUACAUCGGAAUCUACUUUUUCGUGGGGGAUAACGUAGGGAAACUUACGCUAAUACCGCAUACGACCUACGGGUGAAAGCAGGGGAUCUUCGGACCUUGCGCGAUUGAAUGAGCCGAUGUGGGAUUAGCUAGUUGGCGGGGUAAAGGCCCACCAAGGCGACGAUCCGUAGCUGGUCUGAGAGGAUGAUCGGCCACCCUGGAACUGAGACACGGUCCAGACUCCUGCGGGAGGCAGCAGUGGGGAAUAUUGGACAAUGGGCGCAAGCCUGAUCCAGCCAUACCGCGUGGGUGAAGAAGGCCUUCGGGUUGUAAAGCCCUUUUGUUGGGAAAGAAAAGCAGCAGGUUAAUACCCCGCUGUUCUGACGGUACCCAAAGAAUAAGCACCGGCUAACUUCGUG